GCCCUGGUGGUGGAACUGGUAGACACGCAGGACUUAAAAUCCUGUGACCAUUGCGGUCGUGCGGGUUCAAGUCCCGCCCGGGGUA
rnacentral:tRNA from 1 species